UGAGCCACAAAAGGUGAGUGACAGCAGCUUGAGCUGUCCUCUCACUAGUCAGGGAAAGUAAAAAUGUCUUUUGGCUAUGGACUAAGCUGUGUUGUGUUACAGAUGUGUGUGCACACAUGGAUUUACGAAACUGCAUUUGCUAUCCAACCAAGGCAAGGAGCCCUGCUGAAUUCAGGAAGAAGUCCUGGAGAGGUGACUGCCUCCUUUCAAGAUAUUGGGAUUCCAUGAGCUACGCUUCGAUCCUAUCAAGACAUGCAGGCAGCUGCAUGAGAGGUGGAAAGAGAGAAAAUGAUUGAAAUGAAAUCACCACCAACAGCUCCUGCAGGCAGGAAGGCAGCGUUGGAUCCCAGCCACAAUACUUCUGCAACCUGGUUUGAAUGGGCCUGAUGGGAUGCCAUAAUGUAACCUACACUGAACAAGAGAGGAACGUGCCGUGGUCUGUGGUUGGAGGGGCUCUGAUUAUUCUCAAGGAUGGAGAUAAGGAAUCUGGAACUUCUGCACCCUCCCUCCACCAUUGUAUCUCAACACCUACUUUUUUACUGAUCUACCUGAGUUCCGCCUCUCUGAGAUCUGUACAGUAAGAAGAAAAGUUUCACUUCUCUCGUGUUUCUGUCUGCUGGCUGAUUAACUGUUUACGCACAGGAGCUGGCGUUGAUGAGG